rnacentral:rRNA from 1 species
GACGAACGCUGGCGGCGUGCUUAACACAUGCAAGUCGAACGGAAAGGCCCUGCUUUUGUGGGGUGCUCGAGUGGCGAACGGGGGAGUAACACGUGAGUAACCUGCCCUUGACUUUGGGAUAACUUCAGGAAACUGGGGCUAAUACCGGAUAGGAGCUCCUGCUGCAUGGGGGGGGUUGGAAAGUUUCGGCGGUUGGGGAUGGACUCGCGGCUUAUCAGCUUGUUGGUGGGGUAGUGGCUUACCAAGGCUUUGACGGGUAGCCGGCCUGAGAGGGUGACCGGCCACAUUGGGACUGAGAUACGGCCCAGACUCCUACGGGAGGCAGCAGUGGGGAAUAUUGCACAAUGGGCGGAAGCCUGAUGCAGCAACGCCGCGUGCGGGAUGACGGCCUUCGGGUUGUAAACCGCUUUCGCCUGUGACGAAGCGUGAGUGACGGUAAUGGGUAAAGAAGCACCGGCUAACUACGUG